rnacentral:rRNA from 1 species
UACGAAGGGGGCUAGCGUUGUUCGGAAUUACUGGGCGUAAAGCGCACGUAGGCGGCUUUCUAAGUCAGGGGUGAAAUCCUGGAGCUCAACUCCAGAACUGCCCUUGAUACUGGAGAGCUUGAGUUCGGGAGAGGUGAGUGGAACUGCGAGUGUAGAGGUGAAAUUCGUAGAUAUUCGCAAGAACACCAGUGGCGAAGGCGGCUCACUGGCCCGAUACUGACGCUGAGGUGCGAAAGCGUGGGGAGCAAACAGG